rnacentral:lncRNA from 1 species
CAAGAUGGCUUUAAUGGUGACCUGCCACCUCUGACCCUUGACCGCUGGCAUCCCCCAUUUUUCCCCCACUCUGCAGAGCUCCACCUUCUCCAGCCAAGCCCCGGACCCCAAGGUGACCAGCAUGUUCGAACUGAGUGGACCAUUCCGGCAGCAGCACUUCCUAGCUGGGCUCCUGCUGACGGAGCUGGCACUGGCCCUCGAACCUGAGGCUGAAGGGGCAUUCCUGUUGCACAAGAAGGCCAUCAGUGCUG